CCCAAACGCAGUGUGGCGCAGCAUACAGGACCACUCAGAGGGCCGGCUGAUGAAGAACACAAGAGAUGCAGAGGACAAAGGUGAUCCCAAACGCAGUGUGACGCAGCAUACAGGACCACUCAGUGGGCCGGCCGAUGAAGAACACAAGAGAUGCAGAGGACAAAGGUGAUCCCAAACGC